CCUACGGGAGGCAGCAGUGGGGAAUAUUGUACAAUGGGGGAAACCCUGAUGCAGCGACGCCGCGUGAGUGAAGAAGUAUUUCGGUACGUAAAGCUCUAUCAGCAGGGAAGAAAAUGACGGUACCUGACUAAGAAGCCCCGGCUAACUACGUGCCAGCAGCCGCGGUAAUACGUAGGGGGCAAGCGUUAUCCGGAUUUACUGGGUGUAAAGGGAGCGUAGACGGCAGCGCAAGUCUGGAGUGAAAUCCCAUGGCUUAACCAUGGAACUGCUUUGGAAACUGUGCAGCUAGAGUGCAGGAGAGGUAAGCGGAAUUCCUAGUGUAGCGGUGAAAUGCGUAGAUAUUAGGAGGAACACCAGUGGCGAAGGCGGCUUACUGGACUGUAACUGACGUUGAGGCUCGAAAGCGUGGGGAGCAAACAGGAUUAGAUACCCCUGUAGUC
rnacentral:rRNA from 1 species